rnacentral:rRNA from 1 species
GAUGAACGCUGGCGGCGUGCCUAAUACAUGCAAGUCGAGCGAACAGAUGAGGAGCUUGCUCCUCUGACGUUAGCGGCGGACGGGUGAGUAACACGUGGAUAACCUACCUAUAAGACUGGGAUAACUUCGGGAAACCGGAGCUAAUACCGGAUAAUAUAUUGGACCGCAUGGUUCAAUAGUGAAAGACGGUUUUGCUGUCACUUAUAGAUGGAUCCGCGCCGCAUUAGCUAGUUGGUAAGGUAACGGCUUACCAAGGCAACGAUGCGUAGCCGACCUGAGAGGGUGAUCGGCCACACUGGAACUGAGACACGGUCCAGACUCCUACGGGAGGCAGCAGUAGGGAAUCUUCCGCAAUGGGCGAAAGCCUGACGGAGCAGCGCCGCGUGAGUGAUGAAGGUCUUCGGAUCGUAAAACUCUGUUAUUAGGGAAGAACAAAUGUGUAAGUAACUAUGCACGUCUUGACGGUACCUAAUCAGAAAGCCACGGCUAACUACGUG